UACAGAGGUCCCGAGCGUUGUUCGGAUUCAUUGGGCGUAAAGGGUGCGAUAGGCGGUUUUUUAAGUUGUAUGUGGAAAUCCCGGGGCUCAACCCUGGAAUUGCAUUGAAUACUGAAGAACUAGAGAUCUUGGAGAGGGAAACUGGAAUUUACGGUGUAGUGGUGAAAUGCGUAGAUAUCAGAAAGAACACCAGUGGCGAAAGGCG
rnacentral:rRNA from 1 species